rnacentral:misc_RNA from 1 species
UAACCGUAGGUGAACCUGCGGUUGGAUCAUUAGUAUAAAUUACUGAUGGAGAGUAUUUCUCUUUUCACUCGUGUAAAGUGGAGUCUCUUACCAUACCCAACCUAUUUUGUGCACACAAUUUAUCAAACCUUGAGUUUUUUCUGAUUUUAUUACAUGUCUGAACGUAUUCUUUGUAUACCACAAUAUGCAAAAAACAACUUUUGGCAACGGAUCUCUUGGCUCUCGCAUCGAUGAAGAACGCAGC